ACGCUCGACACCUACGGGAGGCAGCAGUGGGGAAUAUUGGGCAAUGGAGGCAACUCUGACCCAGCAACGCCGCGUGAAUGAUGAAGGUCUUCGGAUUGUAAAGUUCUGUGACGGGGGACGAACACAAUGACGGUACCCCGAUAGCAAGCCACGGCUAACUACGUGCCAGAAGCCGCGGUAAUCUGAGCGGGCUGGCAAGGC
rnacentral:rRNA from 1 species